AACUUUUGGCAAUGGAUCUCUUGGCUCUCGCAUCGAUGAAGAACGCAGCGAGAUGCGGUAAGUAAUGUGAAUUGCAGAAUUCAGUGACUCAUCGAAUCUUUGAACGCACCUUGCGCUCCUUGGUAUUCCGAGGGGCAUGCCUGAUUGAGGGUCAUUAAUAUAUCAACCUCUUUAAAUUUUGAGAGUGUUUGGAUGUGGGGGUGUUAUUUUGCUGGCCUUCUCCAAGGUCAGCUCCCCUGAAAUGUAUUAGCGGAACAAUUUGUUGACCGUUCAUUGGUGUGAUAGCAUAUCUACGCUAUUGACGUGAAGCAAGUUCAGCUUAUAACAGUCCAUUGACUUGGACAAUUCUCUAUUUAUUAAUGUGACCUCAAAUCAGGUAGGACUACCCGCUGAACUUAAGCAUAUCAAUAAGCGGAGGCU
rnacentral:misc_RNA from 1 species